AGGGGAGCGCCGGAUCUUGGGCUGUGUCCCCGGCGCCCUGUGCUCCCAGGGCUGCCUGUUGGAUUCACACUAAUGGCCCUGUUGUCCCCU
rnacentral:pre_miRNA from 1 species